rnacentral:rRNA from 1 species
GGACUACUAGGGUAUCUAAUCCCAUUCGCUCCCCACGCUCUCGUCCUAGCAGUGUCAGGUGGCACCCAGAAGCCUGCCUACGCUAUUGGUGUUCCAAACGAUAUCAACGCAUUUCACUACUACACCGUUUGUUCCAGCUUCCUCUUUGCCCCUCUAGUCCUGAAGUUUCAAAGGACAGUUACGAAGUUAAGCUUCGCAAUUUCACCUCUGACUUUCAGAACCACCUAUCGGUACGCUUUACGCCCAAUGAUUCCGGAUAACGCUUGAGGUCUCUGUAUUACCGCGGCUGCUGGCAC